UUACACAUGCAAGUCGAACGGCAGCACGGACUUCGGUCUGGUGGCGAGUGGCGAACGGGUGAGUAAUGUAUCGGAACGUGCCUAGUAGCGGGGGAUAACUACGCGAAAGCGUAGCUAAUACCGCAUACGCCCUACGGGGGAAAGCAGGGGAUCGCAAGACCUUGCACUAUUAGAGCGGCCGAUAUCGGAUUAGCUAGUUGGUGGGGUAACGGCUCACCAAGGCGACGAUCCGUAGCUGGUUUGAGAGGACGACCAGCCACACUGGGACUGAGACACGGCCCAGACUCCUACGGGAGGCAGCAGUGGGGAAUUUUGGACAAUGGGGGAAACCCUGAUCCAGCCAUCCCGCGUGUGCGAUGAAGGCCUUCGGGUUGUAAAGCACUUUUGGCAGGAAAGAAACGUCAUGGGCUAAUACCCCGUGAAACUGACGGUACCUGCAGAAUAAGC
rnacentral:rRNA from 1 species